rnacentral:lncRNA from 8 species
UCUCCCUCACCCUCUCCCUCUUCAUCUCUCCCUCACCCUCCCUCUGCCUCUUCCCCAUCCUCCCCCUCUCUCACCUUCAAAGUUCACCAAACCGUCCCCUUUUCUCAUUGAAAGCAUCCCUGAGCUCCUUCACUCCUAUCAUGUCUGCUUUAUCUGCCAACAUCUUAGGACCCAUCAGCUCCAGAAAGUCCACUCUGCUGCCACCUAGAGGAGGCUGAAAGGGAUUAGUAGAGAUGGGUGAAGGAGAUUUAGUUAACCAUUAACAGAUAACAUUUAUGGUGGUACAAAGUGUCACAAACCAAACCUGUUUUGAAGGAACACAUUUCAUACUCUACAGUUUCUAGAGCUCUGUUUACAGUCAAUAUUAGCAGAGAACUCACAAGUAAAGCUCAACUAGUCGGUUAAGAGGAAGGGGCACCGGGUGGGCUUCUCCCAGUGUCCAUGUGCAUAAAACAGACUUUUCUACACCUAGCUGUGAGUCCACUAGGACACUGGAGAGUGACGGAGAACUAAGCAACAAUUUGAAGCAUCUCCAGCACCGUACAGCUAGUCAUAGUGACCACAGUGACCAGUCAGUGAAUUUGAGCGUAGACCCAAGUAAUGGAGACCAAAGUAAGGGUGAAAGGUAAGCCAGUACAACCGAUGCAGAGUAGUAUAGCUGUAUGACAUGUGUAUCAUGUCAUGUAAUGUAUAUGUUUAUUUGUUUAUUGUAUCUUCAAUUGAAUUGUGGGAUGGUUUUUUGUUUCAGGGUCCAUCUGGAGAGACCAGUGUCACCAACCCCCAGUUAUCUAUCAAUGAAAAGUGACAAAUCAAUGCUUAACCCUCCUGUAUUCAAGGAGGAAGACUUGACUCAGAAAGAGGGUGUCCUUCUGGAGAGUGCAGAGUCACCGACUCUGAGUGAUGCAUCAGCAAAUAGUCAUCAGUCAAUGGAUACGGAUGAGGAGGACUCAGCUCAAAAAGAGAAGAACAAUUUGAAGCAUCUACAGCUAUGUACAGCUAGUCAUAUGUCUAUGAGUGACCACAUUGACCAGUCAGUGAAUUUGAGCAUAGACCCAAGUGAUGAUGGAGACCAAACCAAGGAUGAAAGGUAAACCAGCAACACAUGCAAUAUUACAUGGAGUUGUAUGACAUACACUACAUGACCAAAAGUAUGUGGACACCUGCUCGUCGAACAUCUCAUUCCAAAAUCAUGGGCCUUACUAUGGAGUUGGUCCCCCCUUUGCUUCUAUAACAGCCUCCACUUUUCUGGGAAGGCUAUCCACUAGACGUUGGAACA